CAAGCGGUAAAUUAGAUAUCAGGCGUCAUUUUGGUAGCACGCGUUCCGUAGAAAUAUGGCUGUCGUCGAAACAUCCCGACAGUGUGUGGGAAUGCGGUCUCCGGUAGUGCGCGUUUCAACGUAACCAGCGUAUCCCACUUUGAUUGGGAAACUCGUACUUUGCGGACACUCGGUUUUUGGUGCGAAGAAACAUGGAAAACUUAAAUUAACGAAACCUUACUCUCUAGUGUGUCUAGCGGUAUUUCCGGCAGGUUCUGGUUACAGUUGACACUGUUUAGCACGGACUCUGGACAUAGUACUUUGCCAGGUUUUCUUACGGUACAUUAGUGUCUUCCAGGGGAGAUGCUGUAUUUUUGUUCUUUUUUUUUUUUUCACUGUCCAAAGCAGGGCACAAGUUGUGCAAUGGGCAAGACAUUGCAGCCUUGAGUACCUGCCACUGUGGGCAGUCUCCAAAGCUUGCACCUGUACUUGUGUGAUAUAGAGCAACUCUUUCUGAGUAACUGACAUCGCCGCUGUCAUUCUACAAAAGAAGGGUGUACCGCUGCCGACAUCAACCGAAGACUCAGAAAUGUGUAUGGCACUGAGACAUUUGAUGUGAGCAGUGCGGACGUGUGAAAAAGUUAAAGUGAAACAAGCAUUGGAGACAAACCACAUGGUGGGAGGGCAUUGACAGCAGCCACCUCCGCAAAUCAGAUUAGGGUGGACGAAAUGAUUCGUAAAGACCAUCAAAUCAGCAUCCGAGAAAUCGCUGAAGAACUUGAUUGUGGUCACAGUGCUGUCGACACCAUAAUCUAGAUCCUGGGAUACCGGAAAGUUUGUGCCAAGUGGGUUCCUCAGCUGGUAUGAAAGUGAAGAGACUGGAGGUGUCUUUGGACCUCCUGGAAGCACUUGAAGCCCACAAGAACACCUUUUUAAGAAUGUCUGAACUGGUGAUGAGAUUUGGGCAUACUUUUAUGAUGCUGAGAUGAAGAAUCAGUCAACGGAAUGGUGACAUCCCACUUCACCUAGAUCAAAAGAUUCAAAAGCCAAUGUUCCGUACACAAGCUUAUGCUGAAUGCCUACUGGGAUGACAAAGGUGUGAUUUUGCUCAAUUUCCUCGACCGUGGGACAACAAUGAACAGCGACUGCUACAUCAAAUCCCUCAAGAGACUCCGUACAGGCAUCUGUAAAAAAAGAACCCCGGAAACAUCUGAAUGGAACCCAGUUGCACCACAAUAAUGCACACCCACACACUUCUUUUGCAACCUCGCAGGCUCUUGCACAAAUGGGAUGGUCAGUGGUGCCACAACCUCCAUACGGUCCUGAUCUGGUGCCUUCGAACUUCCACCUAUUCACGAUGAAGGAUGAUCUACGAGGACAAUCGUUCUCGGAUACAGAGGUGGUGAAAGCGGCAAUCCGAACCUGGGUGAAGGAGUUUCCAACACAGCCUCGAGCAGAAGGUUGAGAAGUGGCACAAAUGCAUUGCUGCUAAUGGAGUCUUUAUUGAGCAAGAGUAGAUUGUAGAGCAAGAGUUACUUUAUAAAAUGAAUGAUGUUCCA